CCUACGGGGGGCAGCAGUGAGGAAUAUUGGUCAAUGGUCGGGAGACUGAACCAGCCAAGCCGCGUGAGGGAUGAAGGUACAGAGUAUCGUAAACCUCUUUUGUCAGGGAACAAAGGCGGGGACGUGUCCCCGGAUGAGUGUACCUGAAGAAAAAGCAUCGGCUAACUCCGUUCCAGCAGCCGCGGUAAUACGGAGGAUGCGAGCGUUAUCCGGAUUUAUUGGGUUUAAAGGGUGCGCAGGCGGUCUGUUAAGUCAGCGGUAAAAGCCCGGGGCUCAACCCCGGCCCGCCGUUGAAACUGGCAGUCUCGAGUUGGAGAGAAGUAUGCGGAAUGCGCGGUGUAGCGGUGAAAUGCAUAGAUAUCGCGCAGAACUCCGAUUGCGAAGGCAGCAUGCCGGCUCCACACUGACGCUGAGGCACGAAAGCGUGGGUAUCGAACAGGAUUAGAUACCCUAGUAGUC
rnacentral:rRNA from 1 species